rnacentral:rRNA from 1 species
GAUGAACGCUAGCGGCAGGCUUAACACAUGCAAGUCGAGGGGUAGGUUACUUCGGUAAUUGAGACCGGCGCACGGGUGCGUAACGCGUAUACAAUCUACCUUUUACAGAGGGAUAGCCCAGAGAAAUUUGGAUUAAUACCUCAUAGUAUUUUGAAUCGCAUGAUUUGAUUAUUAAAGUUCCAACGGUAAAAGAUGAGUAUGCGUCCCAUUAGCUAGAUGGUAAGGUAACGGCUUACCAUGGCUACGAUGGGUAGGGGUCCUGAGAGGGAGAUCCCCCACACUGGUACUGAGACACGGACCAGACUCCGUACGGGAGGCAGCAGUGAGGAAUAUUGGACAAUGGGCGCAAGCCUGAUCCAGCCAUGCCG